GAAGGUAUAGCUCAGUGGUAGAGUGCAUGCUUAGCAUGCACGAGGCCCUUAGCAUGUAUGAGGUCCUGGGUUCAAUCCCCAGUAUGUCCA
rnacentral:tRNA from 1 species